rnacentral:lncRNA from 1 species
UGGCCCCUAAACAAAUAUAUACUAGUUCAGUGAUAAUGAACGCCAUACUAAUUUCCAAAUUGUACACAAGAAACUAAAAUUAAAAUAAUACAAGACUAACAAAGCUCCUGACUUGGGACAGGCGCAAAAAUGCGGCGGGGUUAAACAUGUUUGUGAGAUCUCAACCCUCCCCGUAUACCUCUAGCCAAUGUAGAAAAGUAAACGCAUAACAAUACGCACAUUAAAAUUCAGUUCAUGAGAAGUCCGAGUCUGAUGUCAGAAGAUGUAACCA